AUUGAACGCUGGCGGCUGGCUUAACACAUGCAAGUCGAGCGGGCGAGGUUGCUUCGGUAACUGAGCUAGCGGCGGACGGGUGAGUAAUGCUUAGGAAUCUGCCUAUUAGUGGGGGACAACAUUCCGAAAGGAAUGCUAAUACCGCAUACGCCCUACGGGGGAAAGCAGGGGAUCUUCGGACCUUGCGCUAAUAGAUGAGCCUAAGUCAGAUUAGCUAGUUGGUGGGGUAAAGGCCUACCAAGGCGACGAUCUGUAGCGGGUCUGAGAGGAUGAUCCGCCACACUGGGACUGAGACACGGCCCAGACUCCUACGGGAGGCAGCAGUGGGGAAUACUGGACAAUGGGCGGAAGCCUGAUCCAGCCAUGCCGCGUGUGUGAAGAAGGCCUUUUGGUUGUAAAGCACUUUAAGCGAGGAGGAGGCUACUUGGAUUAAUACUCUAGGAUAGUGGACGUUACUCGCAGAAUAAGCACCGGCUAACUCUGUGCCAGCCGCCGCGGUAAAAC
rnacentral:rRNA from 1 species